rnacentral:rRNA from 1 species
AACGAACGCUGGCGGCAUGCCUAACACAUGCAAGUCGAACGAGACCUUCGGGUCUAGUGGCGCACGGGUGCGUAACGCGUGGGAAUCUGCCCUUCGGUUCGGAAUAACAGUGGGAACUACUGCUAAUACCGGAUAAUGACGUAAGUCCAAAGAUUUAUCGCCGAAGGAUGAGCCCGCGUAGGAUUAGCUAGUUGGUGGGGUAAAGGCCUACCAAGGCGACGAUCCUUAGCUGGUCUGAGAGGAUGAUCAGCCACACCUGGGACUGAGACACGGCCCAGACUCCUACCGGGAGGGCAGCAGUGGGGAAUAUUGGACAAUGGGCGAAAGCCUGAUCCAGCAAUGCCGCGUGAGUGAUGAAGGCCUUAGGGUUGUAAAGCUCUUUCAGCAGGGAAGAAGACGAAAGUGACGGUACCUGCAGAAGAAG